GGAGAGGUGACUGGGACGGCAGCAGUGGCCCAGAGUUUCCUCCAUAAUACUGGAGUCACAGACCAGUGUUAAGCACUGCCCUUUGAAAUGGCUGGACCACAUGGUUUUCCUGUGCAGUAACAACGAACCCUCUGCCAUAUCUGUGAGAGUGAUCAUUCACAAAACACAUCCAUAAUUCACCCUCCCAUUCCAGGCCUGGGCUCUGUGGUUCCCAGCAUCAGCUCCAACCCCAGACCACUGCCUUCACACACCCUUUUCCUGAGGACCUGCUGCCACCUGGUGGAUAAUUUCAGUACUACCACCUAAGGAUGCCAAAAUAGCCGUGACAGGGUCACUGCCUGCUGAGUCAGGGCUGAUGGCAGAGCCCGAGUCCCCAGUGUUGGACAAUGAGUGAGGCUGAUCACUUGAAUGCCAGGCUGUGCCUGACCCUCCCUGCCUCAGCUGCUGCUCCCUCCUCACUCUUUGCCGUGCCCGCCCAUGGCAUUCAAGGCUACUGUGAAGGUCAAGAAGUCAGGUGAGUCUGACCCACUCACUAAUUCCUAAAUUCAUCUUAUGAAUAUGUAUGGAGAACUUACCAAGCCCCAGCCGACCGGCCAGCCAAGAGCACACACAGUGAAGGAAACAGUUGGAGCCUGUUGCUGAUGAACUCUUUGGAGCAAGGGGGAGCACCAGCAAGAUGGAAGGAAAUACCCUAUCUCCGGGGUUAACAUGGUAGAAAAGGAGACUGGUUCCAUCCUCGUGAUCUUUGAGGAGACGCUGGAGAUGCUGGAAAUGGUGGCUCUGGAAUAUCAGCUUGCAUCCUCCUCUCCAAUCCCCACGUUUUUGUUUUACUCUGGAAGUUCACCGUAUGAGCUAACUGCCUUAGCCAGGAGCUUGGCUACAACAUGAACAGACGCACAAAUGAGUGUCCAACACAGGGAGUCUGAUUUUAACAGAUUAAGUCUCCUGCCACUUUGGAAAAUAUGCCUGUGAUGGGCUUCAGCAAGGAUCUCUUUCUCAGCUCAGAGACUCCUUUUGCACCCCCGUCCUGUGGUCUGAGACUGUUCAUCCCAGAGAGUUGCUGACAUGCGUGUCCAGGACUGACAUGGCCGUGGGAUCAUCUCCUGAAUUCAUUCAUUCAAUAAUGAACUGUGUUGACAGAUUACAUAUUAAGCCAGGCUUGGAUUUUUAGGAUGUAUAUCUGUCCUUCUGCCUGCCUGAAUCUGCACUACAUCUUAUUCAGGAGUGUUAAUAUUGGAGGACCGGACAUCUCAUUUCACAGUAGGCUUGUUCCCUGCGUGCCAUUGAACAUACUGUGGAGGGGACAAGAACAGCCUCUACCUAUGACCUCCCUGCCUGCCUCUGUCUUCAGCUUUUCCAGUCUUGCCUCUCAUACUGCUCUGGCUUGAAGCACUUGGCCCCAUGAAUGCUCCUGCAGGUACCAAAGUGUGAGAUGCUCUCUCUUGCUCAAACUCUCAGCAGCUAUGAAGCUAGAGAGCCUGUGAGCUCAAGCUCUAGAGAAGCCCACAGAGCUGUGACCCUCUCCAAACCUCACUGAAGAGAGAAUCGGGAUGGAAUCCUGCCCUCCCUCCUCCUGCAGAGGAAGUGGCUAAGGAGGGGACAGGGUCAGGGGUUAAUGACAGCAUUGUGCUGGGUGGGGGCUGUGGAUAGCUCAGCUUGUCAGUGGCAACAUCUAAGCAGUUCUAGCCCCAGGGGACCCCUUCCCCUUUCCCAUCCAUCCUCCUCAGAGGGAAGAGUCCUUGCUGGCCUUUAAUUGCCUUCAGUCCAUUGUACACUGUGAGGACAUGAGGCUGUCUUCCCUGGCAGAGUCUGCUUUGCUGAGGCCCCAGAUACAGUGUGCUACCUCCUCCACCUCCCAGAUAUCCGUGCCCCACCACCAUGAGCUACGGGGAUGUGGCAGAAACCAGAGUCUGAAGAGGGAGCCAGCCAGGGUCUCAUCUGGCCUCAGCCACCCAUCCCAACACAUACACAUACACGUACACGUACACGUACACGUACACACACACACACACACACACAUACAUACACACACAUAUAUACACAUACACAUACACACACACAUAAACAUACUCACACACAUACACACACACACAUAUACACAUACACAUACACACACAUACACACAAACAUACACACACAUAAACAUACUCACACACAUACACACAUACACACACAUACACACACAUACACACACACAUAUACACAUACACACACAUACACACACACACACAUACACAUACUCACAUACACACAUACACACACAUACACACAUACACACAUACACACACACACACACACAUACACACACACACACACACACAUACACACAUACACACACAUACAAACACACACACAUACUCAGGCUGUCCCAGGUCAGCCAUGUCUGUCUUCUGGACAACUGAGCCCUUAUAAUUGUUCUGAUAAUGCCCAGUUCCGGGUGCUGGAGGGGUGGGACUGAGGAAUGAGGUAUGAUUUCCACGGUCAGGAACAUGACCAGGUCCUGUGACUUCCUACUGCAUUUGCCAGGCUGGGUCCAGUGCCAGGGAGGCAAGGUAGGAGUGGGCCAUGUUCAUCACUCUCAAGGGGCUUUCAGGUUAGGAGUCAGACGCAUCCACACAGCCACACACAUAAAAUAAAACGUAUAAAACAUAAUAAAAAUAGUAAGUCCUGCUCUUCCAAGAAUGAUUAAAGUCCAUUUUUUCUGUUGUC